ensembl:misc_RNA Metazoa_SRP Metazoan signal recognition particle RNA
AUUAGGCGCAGUGGUGUGUCCUGUAGUCCCAGCUAUUCAGGAAGCUGAGGCGGGAGGAUCGCUUGAGCCCAGGAGUUCUGGGCUGUAGUGCGCUAUGCCGAUCAGACGUCUGCACUAAGUUUGGUAUCAAGAUGGUGACCUCCCGGGAGCCACCAGGUUGCCUAAGGAUGGCUGAACUGGCCCAGGUCGGAAUCGGAGCAGGUCAAAACUCCCGUGUUGAUCAGUAGUGGGAUCGUGCCGGUGAAGAGCCACUGCGCUCCAGCCUGGGCAACACAGCGAGACACCAUCUCAA